GAAUGCUGUGGGACAGUUUGAGCAUACUGAAAAGGACCAGGCCAGCCACUGUUUUUGAGUAAUUAAUACGCAUUUCUUUGUUUUUUGUUUGUUUGGUUAGCUGUGAUUUUGCCUCGAGGCCUACCACCGGUGCCUCCAUUCAUAGUAGCCUAUUUCAUUGUUUCAUUGUUUCAACUAGUCUGGUGCUAUUGAUGCUGGUGGGUUUCCUCCUUAACGCUGUCUUCUCUGUAGGCUAUCCCUGUACAAGGCCGGAUCCCUACUGAUGCUUUGCCCCUGGUCGGGGGACCACACUGGAGGGACACUGUAGUGGUGUGUACGUAUACUGUAGCUACAACACGGUGUGAUAUUUUGUAGUGGUAUUUAAAAAGAUCUAAAGUGUGUAGUGCUUGCCGUGUUGCAUGCUUCGUUGGUGUUGGGUUGCUGUCUCCUGUUUUCUAUCUCACCAGGGGCCUCCUGAGCAGGGGUUCUGCAUCGGCCGAUCCGAUCUUCCUAGGCUGAGGAAUCCACCAGUAUUUUGUGUAGCAGUAUUUUAAGACCUGUCCAUAACUUUUCUAUACCUGUGUGCUAAAUUAUAAUAAAUUUGAAAUACUUUUGUA